ensembl:lncRNA novel transcript
AGAAUCCUCAGCGCCUGAGCCCCCCGCCCCUUUUGUCUGCGUUAGUGAAGGAAUUGGCUCUUCGAGGGUGCGACUAAAGAAAGCCGUCGAGAGAACAGAUAGAUGUGAUCCAGACAAAUAUGUGAACAAGUGCUUGGAAACACAUAUUUCUGAACAAUUCCCUUUAUGACAAUUCCCUCAGAGUUGGAAGAGACAACAAUUGAUGACUAUAAUGCCAAUUAAGUAGAAUGGAUAUGAAUGUCUGAAAAUAAGCUGGAAAUUUUAAGGCCAAAAUUCUUCGAAAUACAAAGAAAAAACCUUUCUGAAGACAAAUAGCUGUAGAAGUUCUCCUCAAUGCAUACAAAUGAUAAUUCUUAAAACACAAUGACUGAAAGUAUUUAUUUGCAACAAAUUUAUUUGACCACUUAUUCAAGGGCUGCUCGUCCAAGAGCUAUAUUAAGGUCUAUUUACUUUAUCCCUACCAAAGGCGGUAUUUUUUGAGGAUAGAAACUACAUCUCAUGGAGUUUAUCACUCAGAGUGCCUACUUAGGAGACUGCUUGCAUACUGAAUGAAACGAAGGAAGAAUGAAUGAAUAAUUUGGGACCCCACCUCCCAACACACUUCCACAUAUCGAAAUGCACACGGAAUGAGGUACAUCUUCUAAGGAGAGUGGCAUUGAAGAGUAAUCAAAACAACAGGAUAUUCACAGGAGGACUGGAAUAAAACGAAAUUUCCAGUGAAAAAGAUUACUCAAAAUAUUUAUUCAAUACACUCUGAAAUUAGAAACUAAG